GAGUUUGAUCCUGGCUCAGGACGAACGCUGGCGGCGUGCUUAACACAUGCAAGUCGAACGGAACCUUCGGGUUUAGUGGCGAACGGGUGAGUAAAGCGCAGGUAAUCUGCCGCAAAGUCGGGGACAACGUUCCGAAAGGGACGCUAAUACCGGAUGUUGUGUAAGGGUCGCAUGAUUUUUACAUUAAAGAUUUAUCGCUUUGCGAGGAGCCUGCGUCCGAUUAGGUAGUUGGUAGUGUAAGAGACUACCAAGCCGACGAUCGGUAGCCGGUCUGAGAGGAUGAACGGCCACAAUGGAACUGAGACACGGUCCAUACUCCUACGGGAGGCAGCAGUGGGGAAUAUUCCACAAUGGGGGAAACCCUGAUGGAGCGACGCCGCGUGAGUGAAGAAGGGCUUCGGCUCGUAAAGCUCUUUUAUCUCGGACGAAUGACCUGUUAGACAGGUAGAGACGGUACGAGGUGAAUAAGCCACGGCUAACUACGUGCCAGCAGCCGCGGUAAUACGUAGGUGGCAAGCGUUGUCCGGAAUUAUUGGGCGUAAAGGGAGCGUAGACGGCAUAGCAAGUCUGAUGUGAAAGCUCGGGGCUCAACCCCGGAACUGCAUUGGAAACUGUUAGGCUCGAGUGCCGGAGGGGUGAGCGGAAUUCCUAGUGUAGCGGUGAAAUGCGUAGAUAUUAGGAAGAACACCAGUGGCGAAGGCGGCUUACUGGACGGUAACUGACGUUGAGGCUCGAAAGCGUGGGGAGCAAACAGGAUUAGAUACCCUGGUAGUCCACGCGGUAAACGAUGAAUACUAGGUAUUGGGAGGCAAAGCCUUUCGGUGCCGGCGCAAACGCAAUAAGUAUUCCACCUGGGGAGUACGUUCGCAAGAAUGAAACUCAAAGGAAUUGACGGGGACCCGCACAAGCGGUGGAGCAUGUGGUUUAAUUCGAAGCAACGCGAAGAACCUUACCAGGUCUUGACAUCCCCCUGACGUACUUGUAACGGAGUAUUUCCUUCGGGACAGGGGAGACAGGUGGUGCAUGGUUGUCGUCAGCUCGUGUCGUGAGAUGUUGGGUUAAGUCCCGCAACGAGCGCAACCCUUACACUUAGUAGCCAGCGGGAAAGCCGGGCACUCUGAGUGGACUGCCAGGGACAACCUGGAGGAAGGUGGGGAUGACGUCAAAUCAUCAUGCCCCUUAUGAUCUGGGCUACACACGUGCUACAAUGGCGUAACAAAGGGAAGCGAAGGAGCGAUCCGGAGCAAAUCUCAAAAAUAACGUCCCAGUUCGGACUGCAGUCUGCAACUCGACUGCACGAAGCUGGAAUCGCUAGUAAUCGCGAAUCAGCAUGUCGCGGUGAAUACGUUCCCGGGUCUUGUACACACCGCCCGUCACACCAUGGGAGUCGAUAACGCCCGAAGUCAGUGACCCAACCUGCAAAGGAGGGAGCUGCCGAAGGCGGGAUCGGUAACUGGGGUGAAGUCGUAACAAGGUACC
rnacentral:rRNA from 1 species